rnacentral:rRNA from 1 species
AGUGAACGCUGGCGGUAGGCCUAACACAUGCAAGUCGAACGGCAGCACAGUAAGAGCUUGCUCUUACGGGUGGCGAGUGGCGGACGGGUGAGGAAUACAUCGGAAUCUACUUUUUCGUGGGGGAUAACGUAGGGAAACUUACGCUAAUACCGCAUAUGACCUACGGGUGAAAGCAGGGGAUCUUCGGACCUUGCGCGAUUGAAUUAGCCGAUGUCGGAUUAGCUAGUUGGCGGGGUAAAGGCCCACCAAGGCGCCGAUCCGUAGCUGGUCUGAGAGGAUGGUAGGCCGCACUGGAACUGGGACACGGACCAGACUCCUACGGGAGGCAGCAGUGGGGAAUAGUGGACAAUGGGCGCAAGCCUGGUCCAGCGAUACGGCGUGGGUGAAGAAGGCCUUCGGGUUGUAAAGCCCUUUUGUUGGGAGAGAAACGCAGCAGGUUAAUACGCCGCUGUUCUGACGGUACCCAAAGAAUAAGCACCGGCUAACUUCGUG